rnacentral:rRNA from 1 species
AUUGAACGCUGGCGGCAGGCCUAACACAUGCAAGUCGAGCGGAUGAAGGGAGCUUGCUCCUGGAUUCAGCGGCGGACGGGUGAGUAAUGCCUAGGAAUCUGCCUGGUAGUGGGGGAUAACGUCCGGAAACGGGCGCUAAUACCGCAUACGUCCUGAGGGAGAAAGUGGGGGAUCUUCGGACCUCACGCUAUCAGAUGAGCCUAGGUCGGAUUAGCUAGUUGGUGGGGUAAAGGCCUACCAAGGCGACGAUCCGUAACUGGUCUGAGAGGAUGAUCAGUCACACUGGACGUAGAAAACGGCCCCGACUACGACGAGAGGCAGCAGUGGGGAAUUUUGAACAGGGGGGGAAAGCCUGAUCCUGCAAGGCGGGGUGUGUGAAGAAGGUCUUCGGAUUGUAAAGAAUUUUAAUUGGGGGGGAAGGAAAGUGAUUUAAUCCCUUGUUGUUGUGACGUUACCAACAUAAAAAGCACGGGCUAACUUCGUG